UGAGGUAACGGCUCACCAAGGCCGCGAUCCGUAGCUGGUCUGAGAGGAUGAUCAGCCACAUCGGGACUGAGACACGGCCCGAACUCCUACGGGAGGCAGCAGUGGGGAAUAUUGGACAAUGGGCGAACCUGAUCCAGCCAUGCCGCGUGUGUGAAGAAGGCCCUCGGGUUGUAAAGCACUUUCAGUGAGGAAGAGGCUUGUGGGUUAAUACCCCGCAAGAAGGACAUCACUCACAGAAGAAGCACCCGGCUAACUCCGUGCCAGCAGCCCGCGGUAAUACGGAGGGUGCGAGCGUUAAUCGGAAUUACUGGGCGUAAAGCGCGCGUAGGCGGCUUGAUAAGCCGGUUGUGAAAGCCCCGGGCUCAACCUGGGAACGGCAUCCGGAACUGUCAGGCUAGAGUGCAGGAGAGGAAGGUAGAAUUCCCGGUGUAGCGGUGAAAUGCGUAGAGAUCGGGAGGAAUACCAGUGGCGAAGGCGGCCUUCUGGACUGACACUGACGCUGAGGUGCGAAAGCGUGGGUAGCAAACAGGAUUAGAUACCCUGGUAGUCCACGCCGUAAACGAUGUCGACUAGCCGUUGGGGUCCUCGAGACCUUUGUGGCGCAGUUAACGCGAUAAGUCGACCGCCUGGGGAGUACGGCCGCAAGGUUAAAACUCAAAUGAAUUGACGGGGGCCCGCACAAGCGGUGGAGCAUGUGGUUUAAUUCGAUGCAACGCGAAGAACCUUACCUACCCUUGACAUCGA
rnacentral:rRNA from 1 species